AGCUAGAAGUAUUUAUUUUUAGUUCAACCUGCCCGAUGUGAAAAUUAAUGGCCGCGGUACCCUGACCGUGCUAAGGUAGCGUAAUCAGUUGGCUUUUAAAUGGAGUCAGGAAUGAAUGGGAUAACCUGGUUUAGCUGUCUCCUUACCACUUAAUUAAAUUUACUGACUAAGUGAAAAAGCUUAGAAUACGAAAAGGGACGAGAAGACCCUUAGAAUUUUGCAAAGAGUAAGUAUGUGCUUAAGUAGUUUUGUUGGGGUGACAUGGAAAUAUUCAUAACUUUCCAGCUAUACAAGACAAAUAUAUUAAGAAAGAAUAAAUUACCUGAGGGAUAACAGCAUUAUUCUAUAAAUGAGUUUGUGACCUCGAUGUUGGACUAGGAAGCUAGUAAAUUAGCCGUUUACUGUGUGGUUCUGUUCGAACCGGAAUUCCU
rnacentral:rRNA from 1 species